AGAGUUGAUCCUGGCUCAGGAUGAACGCUAGCGACAGGCUAACACAUGCAAGUCGAGGGGCAGCAUAAAAGUAGCAAUACUUGGUGGCGACCGGCGCACGGGUGAGGUAACGCGUAUGCAACCUACCUAUCAGAGGGGAAUAACCCGGCGAAAGUCGGACUAAUACCGCAUAAAACAGGGGCACCGCAUGGUGAUAUUUGUUAAAGAAAUUCGCUGAUAGAUGGGCAUGCGUUCCAUUAGGUAGUUGGUGAGGUAACGGCUCACCAAGCCGACGAUGGAUAGGGGAACUGAGAGGUUGGUCCCCCACACUGGUACUGAGACACGGACCAGACUCCUACGGGAGGCAGCAGUGAGGAAUAUUGGUCAAUGGGCGGGAGCCUGAACCAGCCAAGUCGCGUGAAGGAAGAAGGAUCUAUGGUUCGUAAACUUCUUUUGCAGGGGAAUAAAGUGCAGGACGUGUCCUGUUUUGUAUGUACCCUGAGAAUAAGGAUCGGCUAACUCCGUGCCAGCCGCAGC
rnacentral:rRNA from 1 species